rnacentral:rRNA from 1 species
GACGAACGCUGGCGGCGGGCUUAACACAUGCAAGUCGAACGGAAAGGCCCUGCUUUUGUGGGGUGCUCGAGUGGCGAACGGGUGAGUAACACGUGAGUAACCUGCCCUUGACUUUGGGAUAACUUCAGGAAACUGGGGCUAAUACCGGACAGGAGCCCCUGUUGCAUGGUGGGGGUUGGAAAGUUUCGGCGGUUGGGGAUGGAUUCGCGGCUUAUCAGCUUGUUGGUGGGGUAGUGGCUUACCAAGGCUUUGACGGGUAGCCGGCCUGAGAGGGUGGCCGGCCACAAUGGGACUGAGGUACGGCCCAGACUCCUACGGGAGGCAGCAGUGGGGAAUAUUGCACAGUGGGCGGAAGCCUGAUGAAGCAACGCCGCGUGCGGGAUGACGGCCUUCGGGUUGUGAACCGCUUUCGCCUAUGACGAAGCGUGAGUGACGGUAAUGGAUGAAGAAGCACCGGCUAACUACGUG